rnacentral:lncRNA from 1 species
GAAAUUUGGAGAAGGAGUUGUUUCUUGGGAAAAUGGAAUCUUGUAUGCUGAUGAAGGCAUUCAAGAUCUCAUAAAGACAAUGUUUGAGUUACCACAAAUUGGACUGUUUUUAUGCCAUGUAGUGCCUACAUUUAAUUUAGAAAAGCUGAGUCAGUAUGAAGUCGAACGUAUGUUACUAGUUCCUCAGUUCUCAAAAAGUUUAGCAGCCCUUAUGACUUCGUUACUCUCGAGUAGGAAAGACAAAUCAAAAGUUUUAUAUGGUCCUCCUAUGCCCUAUGAAGUUUGGUCUACAAGACUGAAUAACAGGGUGGCAACUUGGUACAAAACAUAUCACUCCAAGAAAAAUAAAUUUCAUGAGGUAUGUAAUUGUUUAGUUAUUUUAGUGGAUUCAAUUAAUUUACUAAUGAUUGCUCAACUGAGACUUUGUUGAGAGGUGAAAUUCUAAAUUAU